CGGGAUGGAACGGGAACAGGUGAGAUAAUGGAAAGUUGAUUUACUAGUAGUUAUAUUUUUCUUUUUGGGGAUGGAAAAGGGGGUGAUGGUGAAAAUCUGUUGAGAAGGAGUGGUAAGGUUGAAAAUGUUCCAUUAUAACAUGCUAUACUAGCGUUGAGAGAAAAGAGGGUGCAAAAAGAGGCGGGAAGGACCUUGUACGACGCAAUAUAGGGGUACAUAGAUGGAGGGCACAGUCUGAUCCCUAGUUGUCGAUCUGCCCACGGACAGUAACUAGGUUUCUUUUCUACAUUUGUGUAGAAUUGAUUGAGAGAUUGACAAACUUUUACUCCCAAGUCACACACAUCCUAACAUCCCGUCUGUACAAAUGAGUGGUAUAUGGAGCGAGAUCUUAGAAAGCAAA
rnacentral:sRNA from 1 species